rnacentral:rRNA from 1 species
CCUACUGGAGGCUGCAGUGAGGAAUAUUGGUCAAUGGCCGAGAGGCUGAACCAGCCAAGUCGCGUGAGGGAAGACGGCCCUACGGGUUGUAAACCUCUUUUGUCGGGGAGCAAAGCGAACCACGUGUGGUUCAUUGAGAGUACCCGACGAAAAAGCAUCGGCUAACUCCGUGCCAGCAGCCGCUGUAAUACGGAGGAUGCGAGCGUUAUCCGGAUUUAUUGGGUUAAAAGGGUGCGCAGGCGGAGGUGCAAGUCAGCGGUCAAAUUGCGGGGCUCAACCCCGUACUGCCGUUGAAACUGCAUCCCUUGAGUGCGCGAGAGGUAGGCGGAAUGCGUGGUGUAGCGGUGAAAUGCAUAGAUAUCACGAAGAACUCCGAUUGCGAAGGCAGCAUACCGGCGCGCAACUGACGCUCAUGCACGAAAGCGUGGGUAUCGAACAGGAUUAGAUACCCCAGUAGUC